GUUUCGCCUUGAAGGUCGAGAGGUUGCUGAAGCCUGAAGAUGUGUUUGCUGAUUUCCGGCGCGAGAGGCACUUUGAGCUCCUCUCCGGGAGAAAAGCACUUUGGCAGAUUCGUGACGGAUCCCACACGACAUUAACCGCUGGACUGGAUUACCGUGAUGUUUUUAUCAGCUGUCUGACGGCACCCAUUCACUUCCAUUGCUGACAGCACGUUUGCAGCAUUGGUGUAAAAGGUUAUUGAUGUCAGAAUGAACGGGAGAGUUGCUGGUGACCUGCGUGUGUAGAUGUGGAUUUAUCGCUCCGGAUCCCUCCGACAAUUUCAUCAAAAGCCCAUUGGCCUGCAGCGUUCGUCCCGUAAUAAAUCAGCCGAGGCAGAGAGAGGAUGAGAGACAGAUGAGAGACUGGAGCAGAGGUCACGG